UUAGGUGGCGGACGGGUGAGUAACGCGUGGUAACCUGGCCCAUACAGGGGGAUAACACUUAGAAAUAGGUGCUAAUACCGCAUAACAACAGAAAGCGCAUGCUUUUUGUUUGAAAACCAAGGUGGUAUGGGAUGGACCCGCGUCUGAUUAGCUGGUUGGCGGGGUAAAGGCCCACCAAGGCGACGAUCAGUAGCCGGCCUGAGAGGGUGGACGGCCACAUUGGGACUGAGACACGGCCCAAACUCCUACGGAAGGCAGCAG
rnacentral:rRNA from 1 species